rnacentral:rRNA from 1 species
UUUUACAAUGAAGAGUUUGAUCCUGGCUCAGGAUGAACGCUAGCUACAGGCUUAACACAUGCAAGUCGAGGGGCAGCGGGAUUGAAGCUUGCUUCAAUUGCCGGCGACCGGCGCACGGGUGAGUAACGCGUAUCCAACCUUCCGUUUACUCGGGGAUAGCCUUUCGAAAGAAAGAUUAAUACCCGAUGGUAU